GAUGAACGCUGGCGGCGUGCCUAAUACAUGCAAGUCGAGCGAACAGACGAGGAGCUUGCUCCUCUGACGUUAGCGGCGGACGGGUGAGUAACACGUGGAUAACCUACCUAUAAGACUGGGAUAACUUCGGGAAACCGGAGCUAAUACCGGAUAAUAUAUUGAACCGCAUGGUUCAAUAGUGAAAGACGGUUUUGCUGUCACUUAUAGAUGGAUCCGCGCCGCAUUAGCUAGUUGGUAAGGUAACGGCUUACCAAGGCGACGAUGCGUAGCCGACCUGAGAGGGUGAUCGGCCACACUGGAACUGAGACACGGUCCAGACUCCUACGGGAGGCAGCAGUAGGGAAUCUUCCGCAAUGGGCGAAAGCCUGACGGAGCAACGCCGCGUGAGUGAUGAAGGUCUUCGGAUCGUAAAUCUCUAUUAUUAGGGAAGAACAAAUGUGUAAGUAACUAUGCACGUCUUGACGGUACCUAAUCAGAAAGCCACGGCUAACUACGUG
rnacentral:rRNA from 1 species